rnacentral:hammerhead_ribozyme from 1 species
AGCCGAAACGGGGCACACGCCCCGUCUGCCAGUGGCUGGUCGCCUGGCACUGAUGAGGCAGGCCGCA